AUGAACGCUGGCGGCGUGCCUAAUACAUGCAAGUCGAGCGAACGGACGAGAAGCUUGCUUUUCUGAUGUUAGCGGCGGCCGGGUGAGUAACACGUGGAUAACCUACCUAUAAGACUGGGAUAACUUCGGGAAACCGGAGCUAAUACCGGAUAAUAUUUUGAACCGCAUGGUUCAAAAGUGAAAGACGGUCUUGCUGUCACUUAUAGAUGGAUCCGCGCUGCAUUAGCUAGUUGGUAAGGUAACGGCUUACCAAGGCAACGAUGCAUAGCCGACCUGAGAGGGUGAUCGGCCACACUGGAACUGAGACACGGUCCAGACUCCUACGGGAGGCAGCAGUAGGGAAUCUUCCACAAUGGGCGAAAGCCUGACGGAGCAACGCCGCGUGAGUGAUGAAGGUCUUCGGAUCGUAAAGCUCUGUUAUCAGGGAAGAACAUAUGUGUAAGUAACUGUGCACAUCUUGACGGUACCUAAUCAGAAAGCCGCGGCUAACUACGUG
rnacentral:rRNA from 1 species